CUUUGGGCCUGGUCUGGAUUUCUUCUAAAAACAAAAGGAAAAAACUCCACACAGAAAGGUGAUGAUGAAUUCUAAUACCACCGACCAGGAGUGUCUGCUUCCUCACCCUGAAGAGAUAAAGGAGAAAACUUCUGAAAAUACAUUAUAGGACUGCAUCUCCUCCUCAAACAUGAUCAGCUGCUC